GAAAAUUUCUUCAGUUCAUUGAAAUAAGGCCACAGACUACAAUUACAUUCACACAAACUACCAGUUAAGACACAUUCAAAAUAUAUCAACCACCAUUACAAACACAAAAUACAAGAGCUAAGACAUAGAUGACAUAAUGUCAUCAAAACUCUUCUACUCCAACCAUGUGUAGAACUACAACAACUUCAACGAUCGAAGGCACAAUAGCAAACCCAGAUAAUUAGCACUAUUACUAUAACAGAAGCCAAUUUCUUCCUCCAUAUUCUUGCUCGAUUCCUUUCUUCUUCAAAAGCUUUGACCCUGUUCAAUAAACCCCAAAUAGCCCUAUUCGUUUUUCUAGGAAACUCGUCAUUAACCUACCUAAAAUAGUUACAUCCACCUUUGUCCUUCAAAAAAAAAAAGAAAUUGAUUCAAACUAAAAUCGGGGACAACAUAGUAAAAAUAAUUAAUUGUAGUUAAUUAACACUUACCUUUUAAAUUUUGCAUCCAUAGAACCUCCUUCAAGGAUUAGAUGGAGACCAUGAAGUUUUUAAUUGACAUUCAUGAUCACACCGACAUGAAUCGAUUCUUGGUGUGAGAGACAUUAUCCACAAAAUUGAGAGAUUAAGCAAAAAUCUGAACACUCGGGCGAGACUACUUUCAAUUUGGAGAGAAGACUAGAAUUUUUAAACCAAAAAAUCAAGAAAAGGGUGAAGAA
rnacentral:lncRNA from 1 species